rnacentral:lncRNA from 1 species
GGGAGGCACCAACUGAACCGCGUGGCUGGUGUGCAUCGACAGCUGCGACGAUCAAUGGAAAGAAGGGGAUGCUGAUAUUUGGUGGGAAGGCUCAGACCAACAACCGCUUUGAUGAUCUUUACUUCUACUCGGUGAAAGAGCUUAACCCUCUCAUCAAUGUUCGUGUUGGACUUGGAUUAUUUUAAUCUCAUAAGGAGAUUGGUCAGAGACCGAGAAUUGGUGUAAAAUACUUAUAAAUAAUGUGUCUCUGCUUGUGGUUUGAAGUCUGGUGUGAUCAAAACAUCAAAGUCUGUUUUUUCUUUUGAAGUAUUGAAUAAUGUGGGAGUCUGUUUGUGGUUUGAAGUAUUCUGUAAGUUUGUAACUGAAACGUCAAAGUCUGUAUGUAAUGAAUAAUGUGUGUCUCUGCUUGUGGUUUGAAAUAUAUUGUGAUUUGUGAAUCAAAGCCUGUCUCUUUUAAUAUUUUCCUCCAUUUCCUUUCCCUCAAUGGUGUAUACUUUAGACAACCAUCAAAGAAGUCCACAGGAGAAUUCAGGUUGAUAUUUAAAAAUGCCACAGGAGAAUUCAGGUUGAUAUUUACAAGAUUUCAUUUAACACCAAAUGCAAUAAUACAAUGUUCUCGGCACCAUUGCCGAAUGAUAGAGAAACGCAAUGAGCCAUACUUGUAAUGAAAAACAUAAGUAGGUACCAUAACAUAAAAUGUAAAAAGAGAUAAGAUCACUCUCAUAAGAAGGAGGGAGCAAGAUCCUUCCUGCACUCACCAAUAGGUGAUAUAAUAAUGCUCAAAAGAGCAGCAGAGCAACUGACCACCAUCUUAGGAGAAGAAACAAACCAAAGUUUUUGUUAAUUCGUUAUGCAAAAAAAAAAAAAAAGUUUUUGUUAAUUCGAACUGAAAUCCAUAGUAGCUUUACUUCAGAUUGUAGCUUCCUCACUAUAAAAAUAGUGCAACUAUGAAGAGUUAUGUCAAGCAAUGUAUAACUGAACACGGUGAUCGUGAGCAACUGAAGUGAAAAUAAUAAUUUGUAAUCAAUCCAAAGUUUUUUAUAUCGUAAACCUCGAAUCUGAAACAAGAGUAACAUAUUAAUUAAGCAAAAAGCUUUACACAUUCAAACUAAAGUCAUAUUGUGUCCUAAACUAGAAUCUAAGAUGGUAACACAGACUAACAGUCUUCAAUAUAAGUUAUUUGUUUGCAUAUAUAUAUACACACAUUAUAUAUACAUGUAUAUACAAGAUCAAUCCAAAAAUCAGAUUACGUUGUCGAAAAUAUAAGUUAACCUCUAUGCAUAUGCUAGCCGAAUCAAUAAGUAAAAAGAAAUGCUCACGGUCUUUGAAGUUAAGCAUGCCUGUGGUAAGUGCCCAUAUUAUUUAUGGUUAUGUCUUUAUAAAAAAAGAGUCAAAACCAUAAAACAAAAGUGAAAAGAAAAGAUUCGCUAUUCACCUUCUAAAGAUAACUCAUCCAAACAUGAACUUACCUUGCAAGCAAAGUUUUAUUACCUUCAUCUAUUAGUUCUCAUACUUAACCUUAUCUUAACCGGGAUCGUUGUUGUGAUAAUGUUUUUAAUGAUCAGAAUAUUUUAAAAUUACACUCAAGACGAAUUUACGUAGCUUGCUUAUAGCAAUUAUUUGUCAACAAAUUAUAUCAAAACUAUCAAACUUCGAUAAUGAUCUAACUUUUUUUCUUUUGAUAGCCGAUAAUGAUACGACUAAAGAAGAGCAAUGGAUAAUGUUGAAGAUACAAUACAUUAGUUAGUAGUUAACUAGCUUCGUAAGGUGUCAACUGUAUAUCAAAGACUUAGAUCAAAUCGUCACAUUGGCUUGCCAAACGAAGCUAAGCAAAUUGCACACAUUAAUAAAUACAUAUACGGAUCUAUGGGUGUUUUACGGGUUCUACGGAGACGAGUGUGAUGAUAUCCAUUGCUUUGAUGUGGAUCGAAACGUGUGGACUAAAGUCGAGACUACUGGGGAGAAGCCUUCACCGAGGAGCGUUUUCGCGAUUGCGGCUGUUGGGAAACAUGUCAUUGUAGUUGGAGGUGAGAUCGAGAUGGACCCUCAGGCCCAUGUUGGUCCUGGGAAGUUGUGUG